rnacentral:rRNA from 1 species
CCCGCUGAACUUAAGCAUAUCAAUAAGCGGAGGAAAAGAAACUAACAAGGAUUCCCCUAGUAACUGCGAGUGAAGCGGGAAAAGCUCAAAUUUAAAAUCUGGCGGUCUUUGGCCGUCCGAGUUGUAAUCUAGAGAAGUAAUGCCCGUGCUGGACCGUGUAUAAGUCUCCUGGGAUGGGGCGUCAUAGAGGGUGAGAAUCCCGUCUUUGACACGGACUACCAGUGCAUUGUGGUAUGCUCUCAAAGAGUCGAGUUGUUUGGGAAUGCAGCUCAAAAUGGGUGGUAAAUUCCAUCUAAAGCUAAAUAUUGGCGAGAGACCGAUAGCGAACAAGUACCGUGAGGGAAAGAUGAAAAGAACUUUGGAAAGAGAGUUAAACAGUACGUGAAAUUGCUGAAAGGGAAACGCUUGAAGUCAGUCGCGUUGGCCGGGAAUCAGCCUUGCUUUUGCAUGGUGUACUUUCUGGUUGACGGGUCAGCAUCAAUUUUGAUCACUGGAAAAGGCUCAAGGGAAUGUGGCAGCUUCGGCUGUGUUAUAGCCCCUGUUCACAUACAGUGGUUGGGAUUGAGGAACUCAGCACGCCGCAAGGCCGGGUUUCGACCACGUUCGUGCUUAGGAUGCUGGCAUAAUGGCUUUGAGCGACCCGUCUUGAAACACGG